GAUGAACGCUAGCGGCAGGCUUAAUACAUGCAAGUCGAGGGGCAGCACGGUUAGCAAUAACUGGUGGCGACCGGCGCACGGGUGCGUAACACGUAUACAAUCUACCUUAAACAGGGGGAUAGCCUUUCGAAAGAGAGAUUAAUACCCCGUAAUAAAUUGAACGGCAUCGUUUGAUUUUUGAAAGCUCCGGCGGUUUGAGAUGAGUAUGCGUCUGAUUAGCUAGUUGGUGAGGUAACGGCUCACCAAGGCGACGAUCAGUAGGGGAUCUGAGAGGACUAACCCCCACACUGGUACUGAGACACGGACCAGACUCCUACGGGAGGCAGCAGUAAGGAAUAUUGGUCAAAUGGAGGCAAACUCUGAACCAGCCAUGCCGCGUGCAGGAUGACGGCCCUA
rnacentral:rRNA from 1 species